CAGCAAUUAGUUUAAAUAAAAUAUUAAUUUUGGAGAUUAAAGAUGAUUAGUUAUUAAUUUUUGCUGA
rnacentral:tRNA from 1 species